rnacentral:lncRNA from 1 species
UUUUUUCAUUAAGUAAAUUGUAUUCAUUUUAAUUUCGUUAUCUUUUUGACUUUUGCUGAAGAAGAGUUUCUUUAAUAGUGUACUGCAAGUCAUAUAAAGCAUAGUAUAGUAGCAUUCUUCAAUUACCAAAUGAGAGAAGCAAGUAAACUUGCCUCCCCGACUUGACUUGAUGUGUUCUGGUUAUUAAGUUCCCACAUCUUUUUCUCAUUCUCUUUACUGGUUUGGCUGCAUGCGCAUUACUCGUGGUAUGCCAUCAAUCAUGAAUUAGAUUUAUGAACAUUUUACCUGGAAAUAUGUUAAUUGAAACUAUUCUUUUGUUCUUAAACAAUUUAUAGAAAUUCUUUUUUUAUAUUUCUAAUGUUUGGUAUUUAUCAACAAGAGGUUUAUCGUUUCAUAUUAUAAACACUACUAGAAAUCUACCAAAAUCCGUCGAAACCAUACCGACCGAAAUCGGUCGAAAAAUAUCUAGAUUGGUCGCAAGAGUAAAAUAAAUUUUUUUACUAAAAAGUACCGACCACUUUCAGUUGGAAAAGUGGUCCCACAAUAAAGAAACAAUGCUUUGUCCGACAAAUAUAAAAAUUUCGACCGAUAUCGGUCGAAAAUUGGUCAAUCUUUGAUCAAGACCUGGACAAACUUGCAUAUUAUUUAUCAAAAAAGAGUUUAAUUAAAAAANNNNNNNNNNNNNNNNNNNNNNNNNUAUAUAUAUAUAUAUAUAUAUAUAUAUAUAUAGAUUGUAAAUAUAUAUAUAUAUAUUAUAUAUAUAUAAAUUAUAUAUAAUACACACACAUAAUAUAAUUUAUAUUAUUAAAUAUAUAUAUAGAUUGUAAAUAAUAAUAAUUUAAUUUUUGACCACUAAAACCGACCGAAAUCAGUCGGUAUAUUUAUAAUAAUUUUGAAAACUUAUUUUUGUUAUGGGAAAAAAAUAAUUGAGCCUGAGCGGGAAAAAUUUAAUCAAAGUUUCUGACCGAAUUCGAUCGGUAUACUUGAGGUCAAACAGUCAAAAGUUAUUUUAUUAUUACCGACCGACAUUUCCGACCGAAGUCGGUCGGUAAUAUUCUAAUUAGACUAACAAACGAGUUUUCUUCCCCAUUUUCAUCUCCCCCCCUCUCUUCCAUCUCUCUUUCUCACACCUUUUUACCCAAAUCCCACCCAAAAUCAAGUCCCCCACCCCCAAAAUCGAAGCCCCACUAGUGUUUCUCCGCCCGCCGCUUUCCACUGCCGCCCGCCGCCUCCACCACUAUCACUCCCCUCCCGCCGCCACCACUGUCAUUCUCUUUCAAGAUUAGUGUUCUACCUUAUUAGCCUUUUAAUUUUUAAUUUAUUGUAUGCCUAAUAUAAUUUCAUGCAUUUUUAGGUGUUUUGUCUAUUUUGAAUUUAUGUGACUAAAUAGGGGUUUUGUACUACAUUAUAAUUAAAGUGAAAUACACUGUAACUAAAAUUGAUUAUGCACUAAUAGAGGUGUAUAAAUUAUUUAAACUAGUUAAUUUGUGGUGUAUAAAUUAUAUAAACUAGGGUUUAGUGCUCUUAAUUUAUGAAGUUGGAUGCUUUUAAUUUUAUUUAUUGCUUUUAGAAAUAAUUUAUUCUUUUAGGGUUUAAUUAAUUAUUUUGCUUUUAGAAAUUUAGGGUUUAUUAAUUUAGGGGAUAAUAUUGUUCUAUUAGUGUUUAUUGCUUUUAGAAAAUUAGGCUUAAUUAAUUAUGCUAUAUUAAUUGAAUGUGUUAACAAAUUAUAAUUGAAUGAGUGGGUUACAAAUCUAAAGAUGCCCGAGGGCUAUGCUUCGAACUUGGAAAAACGUGCCGAUAUGGUUGAAGGAAAGCUGACUCAUAUGAAAAGUCAUGAUUGUCAUAUCUUCAUGGAAAUCUUAAUCCCUAUUGCAUUUUGUGGUUUUCCUGAAAAUAUCUCGAAACCCAUCACAAAGAUAAGUUUGUUCUUCGAAGACUUAUGUUCUACCACAUUAAGGGAAGAAAACCUAUUUGAAAUGAAGCAGAACAUUCUUGUAAUCAGUAAUAAGCUGGAAAAGAUUUUUCCAUGUGGUUUCUUUGAUGUGAUGGAACACCUUCCAAUUCACCUUGUACACGAGGCGCGACUUGGAGGGCCAGUUCAAUGCAGGUGGAUGUAUCCAUUCGAGAGGUAAUGAUCAAACCUUGAUUCAUUCUUGUAAUUUUUUUAAACAUUAUCGUCUAAUAUGACAAUGCGCAGGACUAUCGACAAGUGUAAACGAUUUGUUAAACAGAGGAAUAUGAUUGAAGAAUUCAUAUGCGAAGCCUAUCUUGCAAAGAAAACUACCCAUUUUUGUUCUUACUACUUCGACAGUCAUGUGCCAUGUGCUAAAAAUAGGCCCAAUCGGCACAUGUCGUAAUUGAAAAUGAUCCAUUAUAUCCACCAAUAUCCAUAUUCAAUUAACCAGGCCGAGGUUCUAAAGAUCAAUAAAAAAAGGGCCUAAGUAGUGUGGAGUACAAAUCAACUUCAAAUCAUGUGUUGCUAAAUUGUCUGGAAGUUCAACCCUUUCUUAAGUAAGUGUUGACAUAAGAUUAAUGUACAUGGACUACUAUUUAAUUCAGUUGAUGAAACUAACAAAAUUUUCAAUGUGUCGCUCAGUGAUUUCCUGAGUUAAUUUAGCCAUGAUGCUGUAUAUUCUACAUUUAAGGCAUGAUUUAAACAGUGUUUAAGUGCAUGUUACAUACUUUCUCAUAUGUGAAUAUACAUACUUGGUCACUUGUAAAUAUACUUGCUCACUUGUAAUUUAUUUAACACUACAUGUAGGUCAAUAAUCCAAACAAUGGUGUUAAUCAAUUUUUGAAAGAUAUAUCUUGGGGAUCUGCACCUACGGUUACAACUAUGUCUAAGUAUUUUGUGAAUGGUUAUAAAUUUUACACCGAGGAAUGCUCCAAGUAUAAAAAAAGUAAUAACAGUAGGGCGUGUGUCAAAGGUGGUGAAGGCAACCAGGAUAGGGAAAAUGAUUAUUAUGGUGUGAUCAAAGAGAUUCUAAAAUUAUCAUAUUCAGGUUGGCCAAAUAAGAAGAUCAUACUUUUUCGAUGCAAGUGGUUUGACCCAACACCUAGAAGAGGUACAAAUAUAGACUCACAGUACAACAUAAUUGAGGUUAAUAAAAAGAGGGAGUAUGAUCGCUAUGAUCCUUUUAUAAUUGCAGAAAAAGUUAGGCAAGUAUAUUAUACUCCAUAUCCAUUGCGUAGGGAUAAGGCUGAUUGAUUGGUUAUAAUCAAAACUAAGUCUGCUGGUAGGGUGGAAGUUAAGAAUGUGCUAGAUGUUGCUUACCAAAAUGAUACCUCAAGUGUUAACCAAAUGGUGGAUGAUCAGUUAGAAAAUGACUUGGAGCAUCUUCAAUGCAUAUUAGAAGAAGUUGAUAUGGAGGAAAUAACAAUCAUAGAAAGUGAGGACGAAGAACCAGCUGAUGAAAAUGAAAUAAGUGAAGAGGAAGAAUUUUCGGACGAGAAAGGAUACUUCGAAGACGACUAGCAUGUUAGUUUUUUCAAGCGCUCUUAACUUAUAUAGAUUUAUAUUCUCAAUUCUAAUAUUUUCUUUAAUUUAUGCAGAUGACCGGUAGGGGUCGAGGUAGGUCUAGGAAGGAUAAUAGGCCUAUUGAUCAUGAGGAUGGUGCUACACCCUCACUUCCUUCCACUCCACACUUGCAUCCCUCCGCUGCUGAUGGCCGACAACAAUCUUCUAGGCACACAUAUUUUUCACAAGAUCCAUCUACUCAUCAAGCUACCUACCAUUCACCCUCCCAACAGUAUUCUUACCAUUAUCCACCACAGGGCUAUACCCCGCUUCCUCCACAAGAUCCUGCAUAUAGUUACAUGGGUCCAUCGAGUCAGCAGUCACAGGGCCAUGUAGUGAUACGACCGUCAUCUUCUCCAUUUUUUUCACCACCAGCUGGAUCGUAUCCAUUUAGAUUUCAGCUACCCAUAUCGCAAUAGUGGUCUGGAUCGCAACAGAGGUCUAGAUUGCAACAAGGGUCUAGAUUGCAUCCAUCUUCAUCAGUGACCUCGUCUCCCUCUCCACCGAGUUCGUCUCCUAGCAUUUCUAGACUUCGCCUUUGGUAUAGUAGCGCUGAGCCAGAUGCCUCCCCUUCUACGCACGCUUCAGAUUCAUCGGAGGAUGAUGAUCCAGAGGAAGUGUGAUAUGAUUGUUAUCAUAGGAUGAUCAUCAGGCCUGAGGGCAAUGGGUAAAAUUUAUUUAUUACUUAUUUAUUUUUGAUGAAUUAUAAUAGCUAGUCUUGUUUAUUUAAUGUAAUUGCUAUGUUGCAAGUUCAUAUCUAGUCAUCAGACUACAAAGAUAAUCAGUGAAACUCUUGGCAUGUUGUAUGAUGCACCACCCUAUGCGACUUGGAGUGAAUUUUCACCGGAGCUCAUAGAGAAAAUUUUCAACAAAUUUAAGGUUUUAAUACAAUUCUUAUCUAUUUAAGCAUUAUAUUAACAAUAUUUUCAUCUAACGUUACACACAUCAUUUGCAGACUAAGUGUGCCUGGGAGGACCGACAUAAUAGGUUCAUUCUUGAAAAUUUUGAGUUCAAAUGCCGUUAGAGACUAUCUGAUUCCUUCUGUUCUGCUCGGAAGAAGAGCAAGAAGCCUUCAUGGGUUCUACCGCACAUAUGGGAGGAUCUGCUGAGGCAGGGGAAUACUGAGAAAUUCGAGAAGCGGAGUGAACAUGAAAAGAAGGCCUGAGCAUCUGAGAAGGGUGGCUCCUUGCACUGUGUGGGUGCAAGGAGCAUGGGGACUGCGAGAAGACUACUGGUAAUUUCUUAAAAUAUUUAAUUAUAUUUUUAUCGAUCUAUAUUUAUAUAUUUUUAUUUAGUUAACAUGUUUUAUUAUAUUCGUAGGAAAAAAUUAUUGGAGGAAGAUGACUCAUGAUAAGUUCUUCAUGGAGAGUCACAUCCGGAAGAAGAAGGCACCGACAUAUCCAACUAUAUGGAUCAAGGACCGGGCGGAGACUACAUAUGUAAGUUUCAUAACUACUAUAACUUGAAAUUAAUGUUUAUAAUAUUAUAUAGUUAAUAAUUUUCUAUCUUCUAAAUAAAGGGUCGCUACAAGACUAAUGUGAAGGAGUACACUCAGAGCUUGCCACCGAAUGAGCAAGGCAAGCGACCACCCCUUUCAGACGAAGAAGCGCAGGAGAUAUGGUUGGAUGUCGUCAGUGCUCCUAAAAAGGGGAAAGCAUACGGCUUUUCAGAGAGAUCAUUUCGGCACUACAGGGCUGGAUUGCAAGGUAUAGGGACUUCCGCCCAGGGCGAGGCAAUUGAUAGGUCGACUUUUUCGUCUAUAGAGAAGAAGGUCGCAAAGCUGACAACAGAGCUUGAAGAGACAAAGGCUAGAGAACAAAAGAGAGAUAAACAAUUUGACACCUUUCAAGUUCAGCUAGAAAAGAUGGACCAACAAUUUAAUGUCCUUCAAGGUCAGUUGUCCAAUCUUCUUGCUAGCGGUGCUUUCCCUAUUCCCCGGUCUCAUGAGCCUUCCCUAGAUGUGUCUCCUUCUCGUCGUGAUCUUUCGAACCAUGCCGACGAUGAAGGUACUAGUAGUGGAGAUGGAGAUGAUGUAGUGCAAAACACUCAUUGAAUGAUGCUUGAACUUUUAACUUGUAAAAUAUUUUGUUGUUGGGUAUGAUGUUUUGUUAAUAUAGUUUAGUGGAGAUGGAGAUGAUGUUUUAUUAAUAUAGUUUUGAUAGUUGUUAUUGUUGUUAUUGUUGUUUUUAUUAUUGUUGUUAUUGGUUGAAUGACAAUAAUGUAAUGCUGCCAUUAUAGGUAAUUGGUUGUUGGCAGGUGGUGCAGCUAUAAGAUAGCUGUAUUCUGCCAAACACUUACCCAGAAAACCGAUCGCCUACCGACCGAAGUCGGUCGGAAAUGUUCAAUUGAUUUCCCAGAAAUUUAAAUUUACCGACCGACUUCGGUCAGAAUUUUUGAUUUUAAUUUUUAAAAAUAUUUUAAUAAUACUGACCAAUUUCGGUCGGAAUUGAACAAUUUUAAAAAAAUAAAUAAUUAAAAUUAUGACCAAAAUCGGUCUCUAAUUUUAAAAAUAAUUAAAAAUUAUUUUUAAGAAUACCGACCAAUUUCGGUCGGUAAGUUUAUUUUGUGUCAGGAUAUUUGGUCAAAGUGCGUUAAAAAUUACCGACCGACUUCGGUCGGAAAUAUUGACUGUCUGCGGUCGAUAGCCGUUAACAACCAUUAUUUUUUCUAUGAAUUGAAAAUGGUCGGAAAUCGGUCGAUUUUUAUUCGUUUCUGACCAUUUUUGGUGGGUUUUUUUGGACGCUUUUUGAUAGUUUUCUAGUAGUGAAAAAUGUUGGAGAUUGGUGAAUUAUUUAGUGUUGAAUAUCACACUUUCGGUGGGAUGUGGUUAUUUGGUGUUCUUAUAUGGUCUUUGUAUUGAUAAAAAAUACAUUUACUACGCAGGCAAGUUGAAGUGUGACAUGUGGAAGGUAAUACAGAAUUGUACCAGAAGAUGGCUCGACAUUGAUUGUAAGACAUGGUGCAUUUAAAGGUUUCACGGCUGAAUGCCCCUUAUAUAUAAUCAUGGGGAAGAUCAGAUGCCCACAUGUGGAUGUUGCAUCUCCUGGUUUUCUGGAUCUUUUAAUAAAAAACCAUAGAAAGCAGAAAAUAUGCUAUUGCAGCAAACGAAACACCCUGAUCUCCCAAUCAAGACAAGAGUUGUAAUUAAGAUGCUUCCUCUUUCUCUUAUGGUUUUCUUGCUUCGGGAAAGGUGGCAAAUAAAACUCUUAGAUUCUGCCACAAAGCUUGGGAUUCCCCUUUACUUGUAAUACAAUUGCAUUUGAGAAUACUCCGUGGACCGGAACAUCAACCCUCUAAAUUGUUGUCCGAAAGCUUCAGGUACAAUAAGGAGGAAAUAUUUAGCUUUGGUGCAUUGGAUAAAGUUAGAUAGUACUUCACUUUCAAGAAAAUUGUAGCUCAUGUUUAACUUCUGAAGAAUGAAGAGAUUACUCACUUUCUUAGGAAUUUCUCCUCAUAAGGAGUUUCCCUAAAGAUUGAUAGAAUUUAGGAAGGAAAGAUAUCGGUAUAGGGGGUGAAACUGGGCCCAUGGGACGCCUUAGUUUCCAAUAAGGUAAACGGAGCAAGAGGCGUGAUGACAAGGGACUAGAAUGGAGGCAAGGAUCCCCUCGAGCCGUGAUCCGGGCAAAACGCCAGAACUCGGGAGUAUCGGGGCCAUGACACCAGGUUCGAUUUGAAUCCCAGAGGCAUCAAAGAUCAUUACCAGGCAAUCGAGCACGACCAACAAUAGGCCAUGAUAUCCGUGACCAUCCGGAUAUCACGGCCUGGAUCUCGGCACGUAUAAGCAGGAAUCUGGUGAUUGGUUAAACGGAAGAUUUUUACCUUUUUAUGGAAUUGUAUUUAGAGUAGGACUCCCCUACUAUAUAAAUGGGGUCUCAUUAUUCAUUAACCACAUUGUAACAUACAUAUCAAGGCAAUAUUUUCAUUUUCUCUGUUAUUCAAAGUUCUCACUUUUGUUCAUCAAUGCUCAGUUAUUGUGAGUCCGAGAUCGAGAGCAGAUAUUUCAUUAAGGCUGUUGUUGAUUUCGGAACCUCCCCCAUUAAGCGGUUUGGCAAUUUAUUACGUCCUCUAUCUAUUUAAUCUAACACAAUUUAUCAUUUGUAUUGAAUUAAUCCACGUAUCCUUAAAAUCACUUACAAAUUUAAUUGUUAUCCGUUUUUGAGGGUAAACGAUUUGGCGCCCACCAUGGGGCUAAGGAUAAUAGUGGCAAUUUGAUACAAUUUCCUUAACAUAUCCUAUUUUACACUUGUUCUUUGAGCUUUUAAUUUCAGAUCAUAAUUUAGAAUGUCGAACCCCCAAUCUGCCCCUUUGAAUGUGGAUGCUGAGUCUGGCCACCAUAGCGAGAACAACAAUGUGGUACCCAGUAAUGGGGUUCCCCCUGUCGACCCCAAUGGAGUUCCGGCCGCGGACCCGAUCGACGCAAACUCACGUGUGGCCAUCAAUGCAAACUUACCUACCGAUCUUAAGAAUAACAUCCGUGGGGGAGUCCGAUCGGUGGCCCAAAAUACACACGACACCAAAGGUGAUGGGAUCAACUUGCAAGUAAUCUUUGAAAUAUUGCAGGCUCAGCAAGCAGCGAUAACCCAGUUAUAGAACCAGAGCCGCGACCCCUGCAGAGUCGAGCCUGAACCAUCCCGAGAAAGUGCUCGCAGAAAUGAACCAAUCAUAGAAAGGCCGAGUAAAGCUGAACUCGGGACCAACCCCGAGAUCAUAAAGAUGCUUGAGGAACUGACAAAACGGGUGGAAUCGGGAGAAAAGAAAAUCGAAGCCAAUGACAAAAAAGUAGAAACUUACAACUCUAGGGUCGACCAAAUCCCAGGAGCACCACCGAUAUUGAAGGGCCUGGAUUCUACGAAGUUUGUUCAAAAAUCUUUUCCUUCGAGCGCAACUCUGAAACCGAUCCCAAAAAAAGUUCUGCAUGCCCGAAAUUCCUAAGUACAAUGGAACAACUGAUCUAAAUAAACAUGUGACCUCCUACACGUGUGCCAUCAAGCGGAACGACUUGGAAGAUGAUGAGAUCGAGUCCGUCUUGCUGAAAAGGUUCGGAGAGACCUUGUCAAAAGGAGAUAUGAUAUGGUAUCACAACUUACCCCUAGAUCUAUUGACUCAUUUGUUAUGCUUGCAGACGCCUUCGUGAAAGCACAUGCCGGGGCCAUCAAGGUCGAGACCAGGAAGUCAGACCUUUUCAAAGUGAAGCAAAGAGAUAAUGAGAUUCUCAGGGAAUUCGUGUUCUGGUUUCAAAUGGAACGAAUGGACCUACCUCCGGUCGCGGAUGAUUGGGCCGUUCAGUCCUUCACCCAAGGACUCAAUACUCGAAGCUUACUGGCUUCACAACAGUUGAAGCAAAAUCUGAUAGAAUACCCUGCGGUAACUUGAGCCGACAUCCAUAAUUGGUACCGAUCAAAAUCAAGGUCGAGGAUGAUUAGCUCGGGGCCCCUUCCGAGUCCGUCUAUCCCAUCAGAGCUAGUGAUAGAUCCAAAAGAGACACUGAUCGUGAACCAAGCUCGAAUAGAGACCGGUAUUAACCAUACAAUGGAGAUCGAAAGGGGUAAUGGGUCUGGACGAAACCUUGUGAGAAGUGAAAGAAUAAGCGACCGAGGUCAAACUAACCGGGUACUCAUGAGAAAAAGCAGUUUUGAUAGGCCCAUUGGGCCUAAGGAAGCGCCGAGGUUAUCAGAGUACAACUUCAACGUCGACGUUGCUGCCAUCGUAUCUGCCAUCGGACGCAUCUAAGACACCAAGUGGCGUCAACCUUAACAGUUCGACCCUGCCCAAAGGGACCCCAACCUAAUGUGUAAAUAUCAUGGCACUCACGGUGACAGAACUGAAGAAUGCCAACAAUUGAGAGAGGAAGUAGCCCGUUUAUUCAACAAUGAACACCCCCGAGAGUUCCUGAGCGAUCGAGCCAAAACUUAUUUCAGGAAUAGGGACUCCAAUAAGCAGAUCGAGCAAGCGGAACCUCAGCAUGUCAUUAACAUGAUCAUUAGUGUGGUUGACGUCCCCUAGGAGACGAUGUUAAACGCACCAAAGUGUCCAUCACAAGGGAAAAAUAGACUCGAGAUUACGUGCCAGAAGGAACCGUAUAUUUCAAUGACGAGGACGUUGAAGGCAUCAUGCAACCACAAAAUGAUGCACUGGUAAUAUCUGUACUCAUAAAUAAAUCUUGAGUUAAGCGUGUGUUAAUUGAUCCAGGUAGCUCGGCCAAUAUCAUAAGAUCGAGGGUCGUAUAAUAGCUGGGGCUACAAGACCAAAUUGUGCCUGUAGUUUGAGUUCUAAACGGAUUCAACAUGGCAUGUGAGACCACUGAAGGGGAGAUAACCCUACCAGUGAACACCAUCGGAACCCUUCAAAAAACAAAGUUCUACGUGAUCGAAGGAGACAUGAGAUACAAUGCUCUGUUCGGGAGGCCAUGGAUUCACAACAUGAGGGCAGUACCCUCGACACUUCACCAAGUGUUGAAAUUCUCAACACCAGGAGGGAUUAAAAUAGUUUACGAAGAGCAACCAACCGCAAAAGAGAUGUUCGCAGUCGAUGAGGUGAUCUCGAUAUCUGCACUCUCGACAUCAAAGAACCCGAGUUUAGUCACCUAGGAAGAAACCAAAUAGAUAUCACCGAUACCGGUCCAGACCGAGCCAGAAAAGCAGGGGACGGACGAGGAUGAGAAUUAAGGAGUUACCAGGUCUUUCAUAACCCCUAACGAUUCUGAUGCUACCAAGUCAACCGUCGAGGAGCUGGAGCAAGUUAUAUUGAUCUAGCACCUGCCAGAUCGCCUGAUCCCACCUUAACAUGACAGGGAUCCCUCCAAAAAUAACUACUCACAAGAUGAGUCUGGAUCUGAAGUUUCACCCGGUCAAACAGAAAAGGAGGCCUCAAUCCAAAGUCAAGCAUGCAUUCAUCAAAGACAAGGUAUCUAAACUCCUUAAAAUAGGCUAUAUUCGGGAAAUUAAGUACCCGGAUUGGUUAGCAAACGUAGUAGUAGUCCCUCAAAAAGGAAAUAAAUUAAGAAUGUGUGUGUAUUACAAAGACUUGAACAAGGCAUGCCCCAAGGACUCUUUUCCUCUGCCUAACAUCUAUCGCAUGAUCAAUGAGAUGGCUGGCCACGAGAUCCUCAACUUUCUCGAUGCCUAUUCUGGGUACAACCAAAUCCGGAUGUACCUGGGCCUCCAGGAAAAACCUUCUUUCAUCGCUAAAUACGACACCUAUUAUUAUAACGGAAUGCCAUUCAGAUUAAAAAAAGCCGGUGCCACUUACCAACGCCUAGUAAAUCGGAUGUUUGAAGAGAAAAUAGGAAAAUAAAUGGAGGUUUACAUUGAUGACAUGUUAGUUAAGUCCCUGCGAGUAGAGGACCAUUUGAAACAUUUGCAGCAAACCUUCAACAUACUGAAGAAAUACAAUAUGAAGCUGAAUCCAUAGAAAUGCGCAUUCGGAGUCGGGUCCGAUAAAUUCCUCGGAUUCAUGGUGUCGAACCGGAUAAUCGAGAUCAACCCCGAUAUCAAUACAAUAUCGAAUAUCGACCCCAAACCGCCAUCAAAUCCCAAAUUUUGGCAGACUUCGUGGCCGACUUCACGCCGACCCUAAUACCCGAGGUCGAAAGGGAAUUAUUGUUGAACUCGGGGACUUCCUCGGGGAUCUAGACCCUCUUUACCGACGGUUCCUCGAACGCAAAAAGGUAUGGACUUGGCAUCAUAUUAAAGCCACCGAUGGGUAAUGUAGUUAGGCAAUCUAUUAGAACUGUAAAAUUGACUAACAAUGAGGCUGAGUAUGAGGACACAGUUGUAGGUCUAGAACUGGCUAAAAGCCUGGGGGCCGAGGUGAUCGAAGCUAAGUGCGAUUCCCUCCUCGUGGUGAAUCAAGUCAAUGGGACGUUCGAAGUAAAAGAAGAACGAAUGCGAAGAUACCUGAAUAAACUACAGGUAACACUACAUCGAUUCAGGGAAUGGACCCUACAACAUAUACCCCGGGAUCAAAACAGCAAAGCCGAUGCUCUAGCUAACUUGGGAUUAUCAGUUAAUGAUGACGAAUUCAGCUCGGGAAUGGUCAUACAACUCAUGAAAUCGGUAGUGGAAGAAGGCUACGCCGAGAUAAACUAGACAAGCUUAACCUGGGACUGGAUAAAUAAGUAUAUAGAUUACCUGAAUACCGGGAAGCUGCCCUCGGACCAUAAAGAAUUGAGAGAUCUGUGCACAAAGGCGGCCAUGUUCAACUUGUCCAAAGAUAAUACACUAUUCAGGAGAACGUUCGAUGGCCCACUCGCCAUAUGUUUGGGACCGAGAGAUACCAAAUAUGUCUUGAGAGAAGUUCACGAAGGCACUUGUGGGAACCAUUCGGGUGCCGAAUCACUGGUUUAUAAGAUAAUCUGAGCCGACUACUACUGGAUCGACAUGGAUAAAGAUGCGAAGGAGUUCGUACGAAAAUACGACGGAUGUCAGAGGCACGCACCGAUGAUCCACCAGCCCGGGGAGCUACUGCAUUCGGUCUUGUCACCUUAGCCAUUCAUGAAAUGGGGGAUGAACACUGUCGGUCCCCUGCCAUGGGCACCCGAUAAGGCUAAAUUUUUAUUAUUUAUGGCUGACUAUUUUUCUAAAUGGGUUGAAGCCCAGGCAUUUGAGAAAGUUAGGGAGAAAGAAGUUAUUGAUUUUAUUUGGGACCACAUAAUAUGCCGGUUCGAAAUGCCGGCCGAGACCGUAUGCAACAACGGGAAGCAGUUCAUCGUCAAUAAGAUGAGCAGAGUUUUCAAGGACCAUAAGAUAAAAAAGAUACUAUCAACACGCUAUCACCCUAGUGGGAACAGGAAGGCGUAGUCUACAAAAAAAGACCAUAUUCCAAAACCUUAAGAAGAGAUUGACCGACGCCAAAGGAAAAUGGAAUUAAAUUUUUCCCGAGGUCCUGUUCGCAUAUCGUACGACCUCAAAAUCUAGUACCGGGGCCACCCCAUUCUCGUUCGUCUACGGUGCCAAAGUGCUAAUAUCGAUCGAAGUAGGAGAACCACGUUUUAGGUUCCGCUAUGCUACCGAAGAGUGAAACUGUGAGGCCAUGAGCAUGAGCCUAGAACUAUUGGACGAGAGGAGCGAGGCCGCCCUCGUCCGGUUGGCCGCCCAAAAACAACGGAUCGAAAGGUAUUACAACCGGAGAGCCAACCUCCGACACUUAAAUAUCGGGGACUUGGUGUUAAGAAAGGUGACACUGAACACACAGAACCUGAACGAAGGGAAGCUAGGACCGAAUUGGGAAGGUCUAUAUUGAAUUAUCAAGAUUACCGGUAAAGGAUCAUACAAACUCGAAGUAGGGAACUGUGAGCUACUACCGAACAACUGGAACGUAACUUACUUAAAACGAUACUACUGCUAAGGUACGACCCCAUUCAUUCUUUUCUUUACAUAUGUUGCGAAUUAGACUAACACUUGCAGGCAACAGCCAAAGAAUAAUGCAGCUAUUAGGCCUGGAAUCAUGCGAUGCACUCUUUUUCCCUUGAACCAGUUUUGUGCAAAAUGGGUUUUUCUGCAAGGUUUUUAAUGAGGCAACAAUAGAUCGUGCUAACUUAGAAUUGAAGACCGGUUAUGAACCGGAAUCGAGGGCCACAUCAACAGUAUCCGAGUCCUCUUGACAAUCGACCUCGAAUACUGAGGGCCAUCACCCCAGGAUAAUGAUAUUAGCAAAGAAGGAAACUUUGUGCGUAAACAGUCUAUGUUCGGUGGGUAUGUUACGAGGUAUUAUGACUUGUGUGAAUUGUCGGUUUUGGUUUUAAGAUAUUUCAGAGUUAGCUUGAAAGAAUGAAUUUUCAUGUUGGAAGCUUAAGUUGAAAUAGUUGACCGGAUGUUGCCUUAUGUGUAAAUGACCCCGAAAUAGAGUUUUGAUGAUUCCAAUAGCUCCGUAUGGUGAUUUUGGACUUAGGAGCGUGUCUAAAAAAAUAUUUGGAAUCCCGUAGUAGAAUUUGGAUUGAAAUGGCUAAAAUAGAAAGUUGAGUUUGGAAGUUUGACCGGGGAGUUGACUUUUUGAUAUUGGGCUUGAAAUCUGAUUCUGGAAAUUUGAAUAGCUUCAUUAUGUCAUUUAUGACUUGUGUGCAAAAUUUGAGGUCAAUCAGACUUGAUUUGAUAGGUUCUGGAGUCGUUUGUAGAAAUUGGAAGUUUUAAAGUUCAUUAGGCUUGAAUUGAGGUGCGAUUCAUGGUUUUAGCAAUGUUUGAUGUGAUUCGAGGCUUCGACCAAGUUCGUAUGAUGUUUUAGGACUUGUUGGUAUAUUUGGUUGAGGUCCUGAGGGGCUCGAGUGAGUUUCGGGAGGUUAACGGGUCGAUUUUGGACUUAGCAUGUUGGUUGAAGACUGCUGGUGUAGUCUUCUGGUUUCCUUCUCCGCGUUCGCGAGAGGGCCCUCGCGUUCGCGAAGGAAAAAAAUGGUGGGCAUGGGUAUUUUUCCUUCGCGUUCGCGAAGGGGAGCUCAUGUUUGCGAAGAAGGGCUCCGUAAAGCAUCGCGUUCGCGAGCAGUGUCUCGCUUUCGCGAAGAACAAAUGUUGGGCAGCACAUUUUGUGCUUCGCGAACGCGAGGGACUUGUCGCGUUCGCGAAGAAGAGAGGUCCGGAUAGAGAGUUUAAGUUCUGAAAAUGGGACUUAGUCCCAUUUUCAGUUUUUGACGGAUUGGAUCUCGGGAAGAAGCGAUUUUCAGGAGUUUUUCAAGGAAAAUAACGGGGUAAGUGUUCUUAACUCAAUAUUGGUUAACUUACCUGAAUCCAUGGUUGUUUUUAUCAUUUAAUUGGAGAAUUAAGUUGGAAAAGUUUGCAAACCCUCUUGGUUUAAAUUGAAUAUUUGAGGGUCGAGUUGGGGUCGAAUUUUGGUAAACUUAGUAUGGUUAGACUCGUGGUUGAAUGGGCUUCUAGAUUUUUUAACUUUUGUCGGGUUCCGAGACGUCAAUUUUUGAACUAAAUUUUGGAUUUUUAUGGGAAAUUAGUAUUUUUUAUGGAAUUAAUUCCAAUAAAUUUUAUUGACUGAAUCGAAUGAAUUGUGGAUAGAUUCGAGGCGUUUGGUGGCCAAUUCACGAGGCAAAGGCAUAGCGGAGUAAAGAAUUACACUAUUUGAGGUAUGUAACACUUCUAAACUUGGUUAUGAGGGUAUGGAUCCCCGAAUUUGGUAUGAUAUAAAUAUUUGAAGGUGACACACAUGAUAGGUGACGAACAUGUAGACGUGAACCACAGAAAUUGUGUCUUGAAUAAAUCUUGUGAAGUUGUAAAAUUUAAGAAUCAUGUUAUUAUCUGAACAUAUGGUACAUGUUAGAGGAAUUGAGCUGAGGCUUAUGAUAAAUAUCGUGGUUAGGCUACGUGUCAAUAUUUUAGGACCUAUGGGGCCGUGUUGUCGUUGAAUUAAUUUUUNNNNNNNNNNNNNNNNNNNNNNNNNNNNNNNNNNNNNNNNNNNNNNNNNNNNNNNNNNNNNNNNNNNNNNNNNNNNNNNNNNNNNNNNNNNNNNNNNNNNNNNNNNNNNNNNNNNNNNNNNNNNNNNNNNNNNNNNNNNNNNNNNNNNNNNNNNNNNNNNNNNNNNNNNNNNNNNNNNNNNNNNNNNNNNNNNNNNNNNNNNNNNNNNNNNNNNNNNNNNNNNNNNNNNNNNNNNNNNNNNNNNNNNNNNNNNNNNNNNNNNNNNNNNNNNNNNNNNNNNNNNNNNNNNNNNNNNNNNNNNNNNNNNNNNNNNNNNNNNNNNNNNNNNNNNNNNNNNNNNNNNNNNNNNNNNNNNNNNNNNNNNNNNNNNNNNNNNNNNNNNNNAUAGGUGUCAACGGAUGCUUCAGACAGCGGGUAUUCUGGAGACCAAAGGGGUCUCAUUCACUACUUUUCAAUUUUUUGUGGCUGCACUCAGAUGGUGGGAGAAUUACGAGAGGCGUAGGCCUAUUGGCGCAGCACCCCUUACUUGGCAGCAAUUCUCCGUGGUCUUUUUGGAGAAGUUCAUGCCUCAGUCCCGCAGAGAGGAGCUGCGUAGAUAGUUUGAGCAGCUUCACCAAGGUGAUAUGUCCGUGAUGCAGUACGAGAUGAGAUUUUUUGAGUUGGCUCAUCACAUAGUCUGGUUGGUUCCCACUGAUUGGGAGAGGAUUAGGAGGUUCAUUGAUGGCCUCACAUAUCAGCUGCAGUUACUUAUGACUAGGGAGAGAGUAUCUGGUGCUACUUUUGAUGAGGUAGUGUACAUUGCUCGGCAAAUAGAGAUGGUUCGUAGCUAGGAACGUGGAGAGAGAGAGAGAGGCUAAGAGGCCUCGUGGUCCAGGUGAUUAUAGAGGUGUUCCUUCAGGGGGUCAGUUUUACCGCGAUAGGGGUUGUUCUUAUUGACACGCUCAGACAAGUCGUUCAGUUCACAGAGGUGCAUCAUCUAACCAUGGUUCAUACAGUUCUCCUCAUAGUCAGUCAUCUCUCAGUGCACUUCUAGCCCCGAGUACGCUCCGUACACCAUCAGUUCAAGGAUCAUAUGUAGCAGGUCCUUUUGGUAAUCAUUCUGCUUCCCGAGGUCCGCCUCAGGACUCGCCACCAUUCUUCGAGAUAGAGUGCUACGAGUGUGGAGAGCUGGGCCAUGUGAGGAAAUAUUGUCCCCGCCAUACACGAGGUACAGUUCAGCAGAGGAGUCAUGCUACUUCUUCUGUACCAGUUGCUCCACCACCCGUUCCGCCAGUUCAGGGUGGAGCUCAGUCAGCUAGGGGUCGCCCAAGAGGGAGAGGCCGAUUAGGUGGCGGUCAGGGCCGAUUCUAUGCUUUUCCUGCCAGGCCAGAUGUUGUUGCUUCAGAUACAGUGAUCACAUGUAUUGUCUCAGUGUGCCACAGGGAGGCAUCUAUAUUAUUUGACCCUGGUUUCAUCAUAUUUUGUUCAUUUCUGGAUAUGCAAUGUGAGUCAUUAGUUCACCUGUUCAUGUAUCUACGCCGAGGGGCGAUCCUAUAAUUGUGUAUCGGGCGUAUCGGUCGUGUGUGGGGAUUUUUGGGGGACUAGACCUGAGUUGGUCUUUUAUUGCUUAGCAUGGUCAAUUUUGAUAUUAACUGGGUAUGGUGAGAUAUCAGAUGUUUUGUUAUAUGGCCUUGAGCCAAGUGGGGAAGUCUGCUAUCUACGAUUUGAUUGCACGAUUAGGUUUGGUAUUGGUUUUGGUCUGAGACAUACUUGUUGAUUAGUUAUGACUUACAAAGGUUGAGAUCGGGGAUGACUCGAGUAAAGUAUGAAAAUUAUGGAAUGAGUAAGUUGUUAUUUUGAAGGAUGUAGUGCACACGAAGUAUGAAAUUGAUUGGUCGUGUUAAGAUAGGGUUACUUAUUUGAGUGUUGAUUGUGUUAAAGGAGCACAUGUCCUUCGGCUUGUUCAAGAGGUACAAUUUAGAUUUGAGCAUAUCGGUGUGUUGUGAGGGAUUUAGAUCUAUAGGUACGAUGUGGCAAUUCAUUCUUGAAAGGAAGAUCACAAAUUCUGAAUGGAAUGGUUAGUGUUAUAUAUUUAGAUGAAUGUUAUAGUUGCUCGGUAACCCCUGAGAAGGGUGUGUGGUUGAAAUGGGCUUUUUUUGUUGAUCUACAAAUAUUCAUAGGUAUUACGAUACUCUCCUAGUUUAUAGACUGUUGAUAUUCAAAUUAUCGAUAUUAUUGGCACGUGAGUUGUCCGUGCAGGUCAAGAUAUUGAUACCAUAGCACAUGAGUUGUCCGUGCGAGGGAUGUUAAUGUCAGCUCUAGAAGAGCUGGUUACUAUUAUUAAACUUGUGUGUAUGGGGUCCACUAUAUAUAAUGAGCUUAUGGCAUCACAGUUGUGGCGGUGCUUGUUGAACUUACAAUACAGUUCUCUACUUUGAGACAUCUUCCAUUUUGGGUAUGAGGUUGCGCAGUUGUGGAUUGAGUUGUAUUGGUGUGACAAAUCAAUAUGAUAGUUGUAUUUAAUAAUAUAAGGUCAUUGUACCUAGAAUGGGUACUAUCAGGUUUGAUUACGGUAUAUUCAUGAGUAUAAUAUUGAAAUGACUUAGAAAGUGAUUAUGGUUCUGGUUGGGGCGAGAGAGCUCCAUGGUUAGUUGAUCUGAUGAGUGGCUAUGAGUUUUUGAUUGUUUCUUUCAUCAUUAGUAGUGCAUGAAGGUUUUGGAAUGAGGUUCUAUUGAAUGCGGGGUUUUAAUACUUGUACUUGGUUGGUUUGGAGUAAUUACUAUGAUUGUGAUCGAGAAUGGUGUUGCGAGCAUGCGAGUUGUGUAGUAUGUAAUGUGAUUAUAUCUGGGUUUAUGGCUAUGGCUUGAUACAUCUUGUUUAGACUUAUACGGUGUGCAAGAUUUAGAUCUUGGAAAGAAUUUUGAGUAUUAGAAAAUGGGCUCCAUGUUUUGGGCUAAGGUUAAAUUAAUGACUUUCAGUUGUGUUAUGUUGUCAGGACUAUAUAUAAUAGGGUGACGUGGUAUCACCCCCGGGUAUGUGCGUGGUAAAUGGAAUAGUGAUGUGAUGGCUUGGAAAAAACUCUUGGCAUGUUCGAGGAUGAAUGUAUGUUUAAGUGGGGGAGAUUGUAACGACCCGAUCGGUCGUUUUUAGCAUUUAUGCUCAUUCCAACUAUUUAAAGUCUUGAAUAACUUCCUACGAGGUAUUAUGACUUGUGUGAAUUGUUGGUUUUGGUUUUAAGGUAUUUCGGAGUUAGCUUGAAAGAAUGAAAUUUCAUGUUGGAAGCUUAAGUUGAAAUAGUUGACCGGAUGUUAACUUAUGUGUAAAAGAACCCGGAAUAGAGUUUUGAUGAUUCUAAUAGCUCCGUAUGGUGAUUUGGACUUAGGAGCGUGUCUAAAAAAUUAUUUGGAAGCACAUAGUAGAAUUUGGCUUGAAAUGGCUAAAAACGAAAGUUGAGUUUGGAAGUUUGACUAGGGAGUUGACUUUUUGAUAUCGGGCUCGAAAUUUGAUUCUGGAAAUUUGAAUAGUUUCGUUAUGUCAUUUAUGACUUGUGUGCAAAAUUUGAGGUCAAUCGGACGUGAUUUGAUAGGUUCUAGAGUCGUUUGUAAAAAUUAAAAGUUUCAAAGUUCAUUUGGCUUGAAUUGAGGUGCGAUUCGUGGUUUUAGCGAUGUUUGAUGUGAUUUAAGGCUUCGACUAAGUUUGUAUAAUAUUUUAGGACUUGUUGGUAUAUUUGGUUGAGGUCCCGAGGGGCUCGGGUGAGUUUCGGGAGGUUAACAGGUCGAUUUUGGACUUAGCAUGUUGGCUGAAGACUGCUGGUGUAUUCUUCUGGUUUCCUUCUUCGUGUUCACGAGAGGGCCCUCGCGUUCGCGAAAGGGAAUUUGAGGCAAGCAAGAUUUUCCCUUCGCGUUCGCGAAGAGGGGCUGGAGUCAUACAAGGUUGUUCACCGCAUUCGCGAUUGGUAUCGCGUUCACGAAGGGAAAAAUUGUGGGCAUGGGUUUUUUGGAGCUCGCGUUCGCGAAGGGGAGCUCGCGUUCGCGAAGAAGGGGUCCAUAAAGCAUCACGUUCGCGAGAGGGUUUUAGUAUGGUCAGAUUGGGGUCGAAUUUUGGUAAACUUAGUAUGGUUAGACUCGUGGUUGAAUGGGCUUCCAGAUUUUUAACUUUUGUCGGGUUCCGAGACGUGGGCCCCACGGACAAUUUUUGAGCUAAAUUUCAGAUUUUUAUGGGGAAUUAGUAUUUUAUUAUGGAAUUAAUUUCAAUAAAUAUCAUUGACUGAAACAAAUGAAUUGUGGAUAGAUUCGAGGUGUUUGGAGGCCAAUUCACGAGGCAAAGGCAUAGCGGAGUAAAGAAUUACACGGUUUGAGGUAAGUAACACUUCUAAACUUGGUUCUGCGGGUAUGAAUCCCUGAAUUUAGUAUGAUAUGAAUUGUUGAAGGUGACACACACGAUAGGUGACGAACAUGUAGACUUGCACCACAGAAAUUGUGUCUUGAAUAAAUCUUGUGAAGUUGUAAAAUUAAAGAAUCAUGCUAUUAUGUGAACAUAUGGCACAUGUUAGAGGAAUUGAGGUGAGGCUUGUGAUAAAUAUUGUGGUUAGGCUACGUGCCGAUAUUUUAGGACCCAUGGGGUCGUGUUGUCGUUGAAUUAAUUAUUCAAAAAUAUACAUUUCACACUGAGUAAUAAUUGUCCAUUUUGAGGAUAUUUAUGGGAUUGAGCUGCGCAACGCAGCAUGCCAUUUGGCUUUAUAUAUGUUAUUAUUAAAUGGAUCGGGGCUGCCUGCCUACACCAGGCCAGAAUGGAUUUAUACAUUAUUAUUGUUCUGGAUCGGGGCUACCCGCCUGCAGCAGGCCUUAUUGGCUUUACUAUUUUAUGGAUCGGGGCUGCCCGCCUGCAUCAGGUCUUAUAGGCUUUGUUAUUAUACGGAUCGGGACUGCCCGCCUGCAGUAGGCCAUAUUCGCUUUGUAUUAUACUUGGGCUGAAGGAGCCCCUCUGGAGUCUGUACACACCCCCAGUGAGCGUAGAUGAUCAUCGAUAUUCGGGAUGGAUUUCCUAGGAUAUGGACUUGUCUUUCUUACUGCUUAUAUAUAUAUUUGGGAUGGAUUUUCCCAGGGCAUGGACUUGCCUUAAUUAAUUGUAUUGUAAUGAGUUAUUUGGACAUGGAUCUUGUCAGUAUCAUUUAUAUAUAGGGAUAAAUUAUCCCAGGGAUGGAUUGGCUUUAUACAGUACUGAGUGACUGACUGUCAGUCGAUGUGUAAUUAUAUACGGGUUGGAACACCCCUGGGCUAGAUUGGCCAUAAACGGUACCGAGUGACCGGAUAAUUUGUGACCAGUAUUUACAUGAGGUCUUUCUACUGAGAUGUCAUAUUCCUCAUAUCAUGCAGUAUUGAUCUAUUUCACUUGUACUGAGUUUAACUGUUAAACUUGAAAGCAUGCCUACAUUUCUGUACCAUUACUUUUACUGGACUGUUCCUACAGAGCUCAUCAUUUCUUUCAGCCCAGAGGUUAGUUUUGUUACUUAUUGAGUUAGUUGUACUCAUACUACACUCUGCAUCUCGUGUGCAGAUCAGGUGCUUUCGGACACGGAGAUUGUUAGAUUUCAGAAUAUUAUCAGUUAGAGACUAUCAAGGUAGUUGCUUGGCGUCUGUUGACCUUGUCUCUCUUUCCUUUAGUUAUCAUACUGUUCUAUAUUUUCAGACAGUGGUUUUUAUCAGUCAAUCAUUGUACUCAUAAUUAGAUGCUCAUGUACUCUGUGACACCGAAUUUUGGGAGUGUUAUAUUUGAAAUUAUGAGAUUUCUUCCGCAGAAUUAAUUAUUUCGUUUUCAAAGUUAAAAGAAAUGGUGGUUUAUCGGGAAUUUUGGCUUGCUUAGUAUUGAGAUAGGUACCAUCACGACAUGUGAGAUUUUGGGUCGUGACAGGGUAGGAUUUAUUAUAAGAGUAAAAUGGUCAAAUGAACCAUGCCCACAUAAACCGCUUAAGCCAUAACACGAAGCUUGUACAUAUUUACAAUUUUGUAUAUAGCGCACAGAAAUGAAAGAAAGUUUCCACCUUGCAGAUACACAUUUUGUCCCCUAAGACUAUUACAUUUUGUUCCUUAAAGGAUAUCGAAGCCCGGUGGCACAAAAGCCUAUUAGGCAGUGCCUAAACUUGAAAGGCUACGGCAACCCCUGCUCGGGGACUGACGUCCAAGGCAAGUUAAGAUAGCUCGGGCUAUCGAAGCCCAAAGGUACAAAGCCUAUUAGGAAAUACCUAAACUUAAAAGGCUACGACCACCCUAGAAAUGGCUCGAAGACGUUCGAAACCCGUAAUCAAAACAUAAGGCCUUCAAAAAUUCCAAACCGGUUCAAAGGCUACGUAUCUAAAAACAUCUAAACAAGAACUUCGGGGAAAGCUUCUGGUUAUACCGAGCCCCCAAGAGGCUUGUUCGAACCUCCGAACAAGACCUUAGUACUACAUUUUAUUCAGUGCUAAGGCAUUUGAAAUCUUUGCAAUCAUAAAGAGGAAACCAAAAGAAACGAAUUCAAAAUUGCCAAAGGGAAAAAAGCCUUAUAUACAUUCCAAUAAAAGUCUUUACAAAGGCCAACGAUAACGGCCUCAACAAAAUGAACAAAGUACAAAAACAAAGAAAAAUCCCUAAGGCUCCUAAGCCCGAUCUUCAUCGGAACCCGCCUCGUCAUUGGGGCCGUCAGGGUCUUCUCCAUCCUCCAGUUCACCGAAGUCGUCAGAGUGCUCCUCAUCAUUGGGGUCAGCUAGCUUCUUGGCCUCGACCUCGAGCCUUUUCGCAUUUUCAAUCUCGGCUAAGAGGUCGAAACCCCGGGUAUGGACCUCCUCGAGAGUUUUCCUUCGGGACUGCCACUUCACGUACUCAAUAGUGACUUUCAUAUGGUCCUGGGCUGCCUCGGCGCCAGCCAUAUACUGGGCCACCAUCUUCUCAGCAUCAACCCUGGUUGUUUCCGACACGAACCUCGCUAUCUCGAGCUCCUUGCCAAGAGUAUACCAUUCAGUAGUGUCCGAGCUCAGUUGGGAUUAUAUGUCUUUGAUUUGUUGAGCCCGUGCAUCUGCCUUUUCUCUCACCACACGGAGUUGAAACUACACCGCCGCCAGCUGCUCCCAGGCAGUCUCCUUCUCUGAGGCUGAUCGGUCUAUUUUUUCUUUCCACCCUUCGGCCAUGGACUUGACCUAGUUCAUCUCGGCUCGAAAUUGAUCGGUCUUAUCAACCUUUUGAUGGACCUGCGAGUUUUGGCCGUUAGUCGCCAUGUAUAACUCGUCAUCACCGACUUCAAAGAUAUUUACCUGUUCCACGAGGUCGACAUGUUCGUUUUGAGCUGCAUCCAACUUAGCUCGGAGACUCUUGACUUUGACUGCUUCUUCGCGUUGCUCGCUGAGAAGCUUAUACUUGUCCCUCUUCUCAGCAAGCUCUUUGACCUCGGCCUCGAGCUGGUUAACCUCAGCCCAGUACUGGAGAAAACUCUCAUGAUGAAGUACCGAGGCCUGCAAAAAUAUAAAAGAGAAAAAACAUGAGAGAUAUCAAAAACUAAGUCUGAAGGUGGAGAAGUGUAAUAACGCCUUACCCGGUUCAGCGCUUGCUGUGCUUCGUUUAACAAACACGGCGCAUUCACUCAUUCAUUUUCACUUGUUCUUCUUCUAUUACCAGGCACCGAAGGUAGCUAGCUACUCCUACAGGGGCAGAAUAAACCUGAGCAUCCUCCGGGAUGGUGAUGAUAACUGACUUCUUCCAGCCGGGGGUCCAUGCUCGAGGCGAGGAACCAGUUGAUUAAUUUUGGGCUCAAGUUCGGCCUGUCGACCUCCUAGGAUGAGCCUUUCCUUGUCAUAUCUAAAUCGGCCAACCCGGAGAAGUCCUCCAGAAUAGUAGAGUCCAUACCUUCAAAAAACGAACGGAGGGGAUCAUCCGCACCAUGGACCCCUUCGUUGGAUCGCUCCUUCGUCGCUCAGGCUUUGUCGAACAUAGACUUUGCGAAGGAAGGCGGCCCCAAAAUUUCUAUGACACCGGGCGGAGCGGAACCGGCGUCUAGAGAGGUCUCGUCCCUUACCUCUGCACCAGCCUCCUGAACCUGAGGGGAGUUAGCCUUCGUUGUUUCCCCCUCGAUCACUGCCUUCUCUUCAGGGAAAGAUGGCUCGCGGGCCACAAAAACAUCGCUUUCCUCGGGCACUUCCCUGAGCCAGAAAAAUGAGUCUGAGUCAGGCGCUCGUGAACUGAAGCUCUCCUUCGACUUGCGGACCAACCGUCUCCUCGGUUUUUCUUCUUUGAGCUCGGGAAACUCGGAGCCUCUUUCUCUUCUUCUCUCAUGCUGUAGCCCCAGGCUGUCCCAAAGCGGAAAGAUCAACUGACAUGUAUUCGCCUCCUACUAAUGGCCUAAGCUCAAUGGUCUUAGGCAAGCCUGCAAAAAGAAAAGAGAGGGAAUGAGAACAUGAUGCUGAAAAGGGGGGCCUAGUGUUACUUAUUCGGGAAAGAAAUCUUACCAUGAGAACGGGCCUCCCAGCGGCCCUUCGAGAGUUUGCGCCAUAAGCGCUCAGAGUAAGGGAUCUGCAAGCAAAUGCCAUCGAUCCAUUCCUUGAGCCGAGGAAUGGCGUUUAGGACUCGAUCAAGGGCUGCAUCACCACAAAUACCGAUGAGGAAAAAGGAAACAAAAUGUAAAAACAACAUCUAAAGGAAAGUAUACUUACGUGACAAAUUCCACUUCUCGGGGAAUGGCCUAAAUUCGGCAGGGAUCAGGUCUGCGGUCCUCACACGGAAAAAGCGUCCCUGUCAGCCCCGACCCGGUCCUCGUCGUUGCAAAAAAAUGGGGCUUUGCUAGCGUGACGUACGAGCUUUAUCAGUCCCCCCAGAAGAUUCGGGGACUGUACAGGCAGAGUAGAUGAUCGAUGGUGAACAAACAAGAGUCGACUUUGUUCACAAAGAAUCAUAGGAGUAUUACGAUCCUCUACAGUGACGGAUGGAUCUGAUCGAGGUAUACGUCAUACCUCCUACUGAAGUCUAGUAUGACCGGGUCCACUAGUCCUAGUGUGAAGGGGUUAGUGUAAACACUCAAAUACCCCUCCACAUGGGUAGUAAUGUCAUCGUCGGGCCCGGGGAUUACUAUGUCCUUACCCGCCCAGCCGCAAUCCUUUCGAACCAUAAGAAGGAUGACCUCAGUGAUAGAGCAAAUGUACCUUGAUACUGCCUCACAUCGGCCUUGUAUCGACGAUGGCUUUUUGACCUUAGAGUCGUCCAUGACCGAAUACCCCGUGGGAUCGAGGGCAGAUAUUUCAUUAAGGCUGUUGUUGAUUCCGGAACCUCCCCCUUAAGCGGUUUGACAAUUUAUUACGCCCUCUAUCUGUUUAAUCUAACACAAUUUAUCAUUUGUAUUGAAUUAAUCCGCGCAUCCUUAAAACUACUUACAAAUUUAAUUGUUAUCCAUUUUUAGGGUAAACAAUAUCAAAUACGAGGUAAGAUGCUUCCAGCUAACGUCUUGCCUUUCAGAUUCAAGCGAGUUACUCUUUGGUGCUUGAGGCUACAUUGAAUUCCAGGACACUGCCAGAAAUGUGAAGAACCAUUCCAAAAAUCCAACAUUGCCGAAGAGUCUUUAAUUAUAUAGGAUUUGAACUCGAGCAACACUCUCACGUCUGUCUCAUUUUUAAGAGUUGCAGUUGCAAAGCAUCUUGAGUUAAAGCAACAUAUGAAUGAUAGUAGAAGAUUAGAUUUGCAAUCUUAUCGUGUACUUUCUUUGUAUUGUUUGAUAGACUUGUGCUAUGUUUGUGCGUGUGUGUGCAAGUUUUGAGAUGAGCAGUCCUUUCAAACUUGAAAUAUUUGAUUAUUCCUUUUUUAUCCUAAGAUGCAGGGUUGGAAUUUUCUCAAUUGACCUUUAUGGUUAUUUUUUAAAAUUAUGAAGCUUUCAAUUCAUUCCUCAUUGCUUUCAUACGCCAGCCAUAAGCCAAUUCAAUGUCAUACUGGAGCCAUGAGUCUGGCGGUACUGGAGGCCUAGCCUUUUCCCCCUAAACUUUAUGUAAAGAAUCUUUUUUCAUAAAUCACACCAUAAAAAUAUAAUAAAAGAUGUAAAAAAUAUUAAAGCAGUUAUAAUUAAACCUGAAGAGUUUCAUGAAUGGUAUUGACUGCUUGCAUUUUUGCUGCUUUUCCCAUUUACGUUUUCUCUCUCCCGAAAGUUAAAAUCCGCUACACUAUUUGCGAAUGUGACAUAUAAGUAGAGUGCGACUUUACAAGUCAGUUUUCAGAUUGGGAUUUACAAGUCGGAAUCCUUGAAAGUGACUUAUAAGUCACAUUUAGGAAAUGCGAUUUACAAAUCGUAUUCAUUGAAUAAAAUUUAAAAGUCGUAUUGGUAAUGCAAUUUAUAAGCGCAAGCAGGGGAUAAUCUCAAUCCGUAGAAGCUGCAUCCUCAAGGGCUGAGUGAUUGUGUCGGUGAUCAAAAUAUCUUUCCCAAUGUGAUUUUAUAUAAAAAUACCUCAUCUUCCCCUUUUUUUGACACCCAUUUGGAUCCUUAUUGUUACAUAUAAAUUUUAUCUCUUUUUUUUAAUAAUAAUUCUCCGAUAAUUUUUCUUUUUAAAAACGUGUUCUUUCCUACAUAGAGUAAUGGGUUAUUCUUAAAUAUAACAUAACACAUAUUUACUGAACGCCUAAAAAAUUUCGACUGAUAAAGACUAUUAAGUACAUAUAUACAUCAGUGAAUUCCCACUUUUGUCAAAUACAUUGACGAUAUUAAUUAUAUAAGGUGUUACCAUCAAAUGAAAAACCCUUUUUUAAUAAGUCAUUUGCUAUUAGAGAAUUAUAAAUGACAAGUUUGUUGUUGGUUUCCCAAGUACACGCAAGUAUACGUGGCCGUCAAGUAAUAAAGUGACUCGAAAGUCGGAUGUCGAACUCACAAAGACUUAGAUUAAUCAUUAACUAAGCAAACUAAAAUCAAUUAACUGUCCAAGAUAAUAAAAAAUAUUGUUUAUCUACUAAACUACUUUUGCAAAUAUUGAACAAGUAAUUAGCUAAUUUAUUAGGGAUUCAAACGUGUGUUUUAUAUUUUGGUCAGAGGAGAUGAAGAUUCCAGGGUUGUGGUCGGUUUAUCAAUCCUAUUGAGUUCAAUAACCACACUUGUUAAUCCAGAUUAUCAAUGGUUGCUAAUUGACCGGAUUAUUUAUAUGAGUAGCAUGUUCCCACAAUACUACUCACCUAUCCACAAUAUACCAAUCUUAUAUUCCUAUGGUGUUGAUUCUAUCAUGAACGAAUAUAAUACGGUUUUCAACUAAGCAAGACUGUUAGGUAUAUUCUUAUCCUAACCGUGAAAUCUUUUCCCGAGCCACCGGUUCAGAAACAAUCUCUCUUUAAUUCUACUCUACUUUAAACAUGGCUUUCCCAAGCAUAGCAUAGAUAAUAGGGUGAAUUGGUAGCUACAACAACUCACAAGUUAAAACUAGAAUUAAAGAAACAACCACAAGAUGAUAAUCCAAAUUAACGAAGAUGUAAUUAAUAAACGUUAAUAAUCACGUCCACCACAACCCUAGAAACUAGAGUGCUUAGCCACUCAUGUUCGUAGUAAAACAAAUUCAAGUAUUUUGCAUAAACAAAUUACAAAUAAAAGAUGAAGGAAUGAAGAACUCGAUGAUUUUCUCCUCCAAAAGUUGUUCCACGUGAUGUUCUUGCCUCCAAAAAAUUAUCCAACCCUUAAAAAACUAACUUUAAGAGGUAUUUAUAGGGUAGGGGCCAAGUCUACAUGUCCAAAACUAAUGAAGAAUUAAAAUUUUCUCGGAUGGCAUCGUCGGCGCGAGGCACUGUUUGGGGCACAAAUAUUUCUGCGCGAGGCACUGUCUAUGGCGCCAUUGUUUCUGUGCGAGGCACUGUCUGGGGCACCAGUGACAGUGCCCUGGACAAUGUCUUGCACUGUCUAUGGCCAUGAAUUUUCAUUGCCUUACACGUCUUCUUUUAGUGCUCCAUUUUGUAGCUCUAAGGUACCAUUUCGUACAACGUUUUUCCAAUUCAUGUCCAAGCAUUCUUGGACACCAACUUAUACUGCCUCCAAAUUCUUCCCUUUUUGACUUCAAUUUGCAUGCAAACUCCCCAAAUCACUUCCAAUUGACUCCUGCACAUAAAAAUAUCAUUAUUAAACUCGAGUCACAAAUAUUCACACCAAAGUUAACAAGAUGAAGGCAUAAUGCACGGCAAAUUACAUGCAAAAACAUAGAAUUUUAGCCAAACAUCAUUUGUACAAGACAAAAAUUACCUUUGACAUGAUUAGACCAUAUUAGCAUUAAGAAGGCCCACAUGGGCUCCCACGUUUAACUAGUACGACUUCGAUAAAGGCCUGCCCAAGGUCGAAGUGGUCUCUUAAAAAGUAUAGGGCAUAUCUGAUGAAGUUAUUGAAGAUCAAGGUCGAAGAGUCAGCGAAGAUCAAGGUUGAGGUCGAGCACUCAUUGUAGACACAGUGAAUAACGACUAGUUUUAGGAUAAGACAUCAAAAGAGAAAAUUCUAGUGGAUAUUCUCUGUACCUGUACUAUUAGGGUUUUUUAGGUAUAUGUUCCCCAUAAAGAGAAAGAGACAAGGGGAGGGGAAGGAGGAGAUUCACUUGUAAGAAAGCACAUUGACUUUCGAGAUAAAAUGUGAUUUAUUGCAAACAUACAAUAUACACCUUUUCCCUAAGAUUCUCGCCUAACGUUUUCCCUUGAUCCAAGAACAACCUAAACAUUCGAAGGAUCAUCAAUCAUUCAUCAUUGUCAGAAGGAAUAUCCACAAAUCUCACCCCUUUUCGGGUGACUCAUACGUUCUUAUUUACUUAAAUGCCAUUCAUUGCUAUUUAUUCUUACUUAAUGCUAUCCUCCUCUUUUUUGGUACAUUAAAUAUUGUUAGUUUUGUCAGUAUUUUUUACCAUACGGAUAAUAUACAUAUUAUAUUACUACAAAAUCAGCCAACAUAUCUUUUGGACAUUAAUAUUGGCUAAGAUUGACUCUAUUUUAUUAAAUCUAAUUAGUUAAGUCCAGAUCUAAGUUUUGGGUCAAACUGUUUGGCGCCGUCUGUGGGGACUUCUUAGCUAAUCUUUUAGUUUCCUUUAGAAUAUACAACUCACGUGAGUUUCUAACCUAACAAACCACAAGGGUUUUCUCUUUCUCUGCACGUACGGAAACUUACAUGGCAGGUAACCAAGGAGACAUAACUAAAGCGACAGGUGACAUCUCCGACAACCUCAUGUGUUCUAUCAACAAGAUUUAUGAAAUGCUGGAUGAUGAAAUGACACCCACUACCUCCCCCAGGCACGAGAGGCCGCCUCCCCUCCAUUUUAGCACAACAAAACCAAACGGAAAAAGGGCCUCCACGUCCAUAGGAGAAGGGACGCCACCUGCCAUGAAAAAGCUCCUCGAAGCGUGGUUGACCGAUACCUUAGUAAGCGUGCUCAACAAACAAGCUCCAUGCAUGAUCGUAGAAACCGCGAGAGCCCACACGGUACAACAAGGAGACGAACAGGGCAAUCAACUAGACCCCCCAAUGCAAGGUAUAACUCACAAUGCUACUGACAGUGUAGGUGACGACGUCCUUGUCGCUGUUUUGAAGAGAAUGAAAGAAAUGGAGAAUGAGAACAAAACGCUUAGAGAUGAAAUGAAAGAACACCAAGAACGAUUUGACAAGAUACCGGGUGCCCCUAAACUACUGCCAAAUAGGGACGUUGGCAAGUUUGUAGAGCAGCCAUAUAGUGAGGAAGCAGCCUCAUAUGCCAUACCAAAGACCUUCAAAAUGCCACCAUAUCUCAGUUUUAUAUGACGAAACAACCGACCCCGAAGAUUACGUGACUCAUUACGUCACCACUGUGAAGGGAAAUGAUGGUAGGCUAGAAACCCAUAUUUUAGUCAUACUUUACACUCAUCACUGUAUUUUACUUGUGGUUGAGCUUAAUUAAUGGUGAUCUGCAUUUAUUACGUGUUUUAUGCCUUGCACGAAAUGAGUCCGAGCUACUAAGAUAAUUUGGAGCUAAUUUGAACAAGUUGGAGCUUUGAAGUCUGAGUCAAAGCCCAAGAUAUUAAGCCGGAUCACGUUCGGGAGUCGAGCACCAAGUUUGGAAGUCAAAAAGUGAGAAAAAAAGAUUACUCUGGAAAAGAUGCACUACCACACCGCGGGGCGCGGGGCACUAGUGCAAAAUUCAUGAAGAGUGUAAAAAUUAACUCUCUGAACUUCUCCACAGGCGCACCACGUAGGGCACGCGCGCACGUGCAAAUCUUAUAGAGUAUUUUUCCUACUUCGGCUUGGAAAGGAUAGAUUCGUCAUGGCCCAUUCCUACAUGGUAUAAAUACACCAAAGACAUGAUUUUAGAGGAAUUUUGACCUUGGAAGCUUUGGGAGAGCAUUGGAGGCUAUAAGACACAGGAUUUCAUCAUCUUUUCAUCAAUUCAAUACGGGAGUUUGGAUUGUAACGGUUGGAUUGAUGCUUUCUCACUCUUUAAUUAUAUUUGUGAUGACUUCCUCCAUAAUUAUGGAGUAGUUUACCUUAGGGUUUGACGUGAUUUGGGUGACUUGGUUAUUUUUUUUGGAUUUGAUUACUGUUUAAUUGCUUGAAUUUAUUGGAGGAGCUUUAAUAUAGUUGUGAUUUUCUUCUUUAUAGUGUUUAAUCGAAAGAGGAACAUUUUAUUGAAUAUUAUUGUAGCAUACUGUCACGUCCUUAGUCGUUAACUAAGUACACGUGUGGCACUUGACAACUCGCUCACGAUCUUGCACAACUUGCUCAUAUUCUUGCUAUGCCAAGUCAGCCUUACUACACUCAAGAUCGCUAAGAGAAUGGUAGAAAGAACACAAGAGUAUUGUUGAAGGUAGCUUUGUAUUAGAGAGAACUUGAAUUGAUUUCUUGAUGAAAUACAAAUGAAUGGCCCCCUUUAUAUACUAGUCUCCUAGGGGAUAGUGUAUAAAUAUUAAUUGUUACACAAGUCCUUAAUAUUUAUAACGUAAAUGCUUUCUUUAGAAUUCUCUACAAGCCUAGAAGAUUCCAAAGACUUUUCUAGCAAAUCCAUAGGGAUCUAGGGUCUUCCAAAGGAAAUGUCCAUACUUCUCAAGAAUAUUCUCACAAGUGCUAGCCUUCCUCAUAUGUAAGCUUCCACAUGGCAUUAAUAUAUGCCAAAUGGUGCCUAUGUGGCAUGAUGACAUGGAGGGUCAUAAACACUCUCCCCCACCUAAUGUUACGAUGAUCGCGGCGCAAUGCUGCUGCAUAAACUCACGGAUCUUAUAUUUGAAUUUCCAUAAGUCUUCAUAUCAUUCCCAUGUGGCCUCCUCCGGUGAUUGCCCCUUCCAAUGGGUGAGGAAAAUAGCGGAGGUUUUUUGCCCUUGUUUUUGCCUGACCUGGUAAUCUAUGAUAGCCUCAAUCUUCUGAUCAUUCAAGGCGGUGAUAGUAAUAGGCGCUCGACUUGAUUGGCCCCUACUCAGAUCAUCCUUAUAUUCAUGAUAUGGCUUAAGCAUGCUGGCAUGGAAGACAGGGUAGAUCUUAAGAUACGAUGGCAUGUCAAUCUUGUAUGAGAUCUUGCCUACCUUGGCGAUGAUCUUAAAUGGCCCAUCAUACUUCUGAAUCAAAUUUUGAUGCAUGCCUCGUAGUUCCUUGAACUGUCUCAGUUAAACUUUACCAUGAUCAUGUCCCCAACUCUAUAGUCCGCGGGACGAUGCUUACGGUCCGCAAACUUCUUCAUCUUCUUAGUUGCCUUAUCUAAGUAGGACUUAGCAGUGUCAAGCUGCUCCUCCCAUCCUUUGGCCAUAUGAUAAGCCCCCAAAACCUUUCCCUCGAAUGCGACUGGUAAUGAAUGUGGAGUUUGUGGCUGUUGGCCUGUGGCUAGCUCAAAUGGUGUCUGCCUCUUGGACUCACUUCACCAAUCUUUCUGAUGCGCACUUACAUAAUGCCUCAAGUAGCAUUCUAGUAAGGCAUUGACCCGUUCCGUUUGUCCAUCUGUUUGCGGGUGGAAACUAGUGGGAGAGUGUAGUUCUGUGCCAAGUAUGUCGAAUAACUCUCUCCAAAAUUUCCCAGUAAAAUGGGGGUAUCGAUCACUGAUAAUAUGCCUUGGUAAGCCCCAAUACUUCACCACGUUCUUAAAGAAAAUCUUCGCGGCUUCAUUGGCAGUGCAACCUGGUGAGGCGGGCAUGAUGGUGGCAUAUUUGGAAAAUCUAUCCACCACUACCAUAAUAGUAUCAUAACCAUUAGACUUCAGUAGGCAAGUGAUAAAGUCCAUAGUCACGCUCUCCCAUGGACACUCUGCAACUGGUAGUGACUCCAAAAGUCCUCUGGGUUGUUGUUGAUCAACCUUGUCCUGUUGACUGACAAGACAAGUCUGCACAUAACACUCUAUGUCAUCUCGUAUGUGUGGCCAAUAGUAUACUGACUCAACCAAGGCCCUAGUGCAACGUUGGUCUGGAUGAACAACCCACAUUGUGUCAUGUCUCUCCCUUAUAAUCCACCAUCUAAUGUCUCCAAACUUAGGCACACAGACCCGCCGACCUGUCGUAAGCAGUAGACCAUUUUUGACCCAAAUACGUCUCAUACUGCCCUGGUUGGCUAACUCGAUAAGCUGUUUGGUUGUUGGAUCAUGUUGCAUGCCUUCUUUUAUAGCCUCGCGAAUGUCCCAACUUGCUGAAGUAAUUGCCGCAAGUUCAGAUUUCCGGCUCAAGGCAUUGGCAACAAUGUUACCUUUGCUCGACUUAUACUCUAACACAUAAUCAAACUCGGCUAAGAAAUACUGCCACCUAGCUUGUUUUGGUGUGAGCUUCUUCUGCGUCUGAAAGUAGCUAGUAGUUACAUUAUUGGUCUUGACCACGAACCUCGACCCAAGCAAAUACUGUCACCAUGUACGAAGGCAAUGCACAAUGACAGUCAUUUCCUUCUCUUGCACCUUGUAACGCUGCUCCAUCUCAUUUAACUUGCGGCUCUCAAACGCUAUGGGAUGCUUAUCCUGCAUCAGGACAUCCCCAAUGGCAAAGUCUGAGGCAUCUGUAUGCACCUCAAAUGUCUUGGCAAAGUUAGGUAACACCAAGACUGGCUCCUCUAUUACAGUAGCCUUAAGGCCUUCAAAUGCCUUUUUACAAUGCUCCGUCCAACCCCAUGGCUUGAUCUUUUUUAGCAACUCAGUCAAUGGUGCGGCCUUUGCUGAGUAUCCACUAAUGAACCGACGAUAGUAGUUAACAAGGCCAAGGAAAAAUGUCUACUCAGUUACCUUUAUAGGUGCCUCCCACUCUUGGAUAACAUGUACCUUGGUCUUGUCCAUGUGUAGCUCGCCAUUGCUAAUGACAUGGCCUAAGAAGUGAACCUUUGAUUGUUCAAACUCGUAUUUCUCCCUCUUGAUGUAUAGCUCGUUCUCCCACAAGAUUGGAAAACCUUCCUUAAGUGCUCUAUGUGCUCCUCCAAGGUGUUGUUGUAGAUGACUAUGUCGUCUAGGUAGACUACCACAAACUGAUCAAGGUAGGGAUGUAAAAUCUUGUUCAUAAGGGUGAAAAAUGUGGCCGGUGUAUUGGUUAAGCCAGAGGGCAUCACCAACCAUUCAAAGGCUCAAUAUCUCAUCACACAUGCUGUCUUUGGAUCAUCCCCUUCUGCAAUGCGAACCUGGUAGUAGCCCUUGUGAAGAUCCACCUUGGUAAAGUACUUGGCUUGCCCAAGUCUAUCUAAUAAGUCAGUAAUGAGCAGGAUCGGGUACUUAUUCUUCAUUGUGACCUUUUUAAGUGCUCGGUAGUCUAAGCACAAGCACAUCAAUCCAUCUUUUUUCUUCUGGAACAAUACUAGUGCGCCGAAAGGUGCCUUUGAUGGGAGAAUGUGACCAACAUCUAGCAGCUCUUUCAAUUGUUUCCUGAGCUCCUCUAGCGCGGGCGGUGCCAUACGAUAUGGGGAAAAUACGAGUGGCUUAGCCCCUGGCUCCAACUCAAUCUUUUGAUCCACCUCUCGCCUAGGCGUCAAGUGCUUAGGCAACUCCUCGGGCAUGACAUAUUUGUUUUCUCAAGAAACUUCUCUAUGCAAGGCGACAAUGUCUCUUGAAAACCCUUGUCUUCCUCCAGACUUGCAAUGGCUGCCAUGAAUGUUGGCUCACCCUUCUUGAUCCCCUUGACAACCUGCAUAGCUGAAAGUUGUGCGUGGUGAUGUCACCCAAACUCACACCACUAAUUUAGGUUGUGUGGCGGUCGAUGCAAUAAUAAAAACCCAACGUGAGUCAGGGUCAAUUCCACGGGGAGCUUGCUGUGGGAUUAGGUAUAUACCUAGUGUUAAUGUAUGAUGUGCCUAAGAUUACACUUCCACAUUUUCAAUUGUUGUUUCUACUUCUACUUUUACGCUAAUGCUUGUAAUUGUAAAGCUAAGAGACAAUGUUUUUGGUUUUGGCUGUUUUUCAAGUUAUAAAAGAUCUAGGGUUGCGACUUCUGCCUAGUUGGUUACGUAAUAGAUUUAGAGCUUUAGGGCAUGUUUGGUUGAUCGGGAUACAAUAUAGCAAUCACACACAAUUACUCACUAUAUACUUCUCGGUAGUUUGAGUGAUUUUGCCCAAUUUGGCUUUCUCAAGUCCAAAUAGGUAUCUCGCGAAACAAGUGAUAAAUGCUCAAGUCGGGUCUUACUAUCUCUAGAUUCGAUUCUUUAAUUAGGGCUAUCAAUUUCUUGAGUUCACCCCAAAUUCUUGUUAGCCAAGUUUUUCAAGACUUAGUCUCACUUUCUCAAGAAAAGACUAAGUCAAUUAGGUAUGAAUCAACGUUUGCAACUAUCAAUUCUCAAAUUCAAGCAAGAACUAGGCUAAAUAUCAUAUACCCAAUUAUAAAUAAGCCUAAAUAAAUCACCCAUUAAGUACCCAUACUAGGGUUGGGUCACAACCCUAGCUAAGGGUUUAGCUACUCAUGGAAAAUGAAGAAAUUAAAGAAGAAACUAAGCUAAAAUGCAUAAUAAUUGAUUAAGGAAAGAAAAUCUAAUGUUUAAAUGCUAAAAUAGUACAAAGUUACCCAAUACAGUAAAUAAAAAUGGUUCUAAGUGUUCAGGUGCAACAAACUUGACCUAAAAAUGACAAAAAAGAUCUAUUUAUACCCAAUUGAAAAUAUCUGACAAAAUUGCCCCUGCGAAGGUUGUGCGGCCGCAUAAUUAUGUGUGUGGUUCGCUCUUUGAGAUUGACUGGUCAGGUUGGCUUUCUGCGGUAGCAUAAAAGAGAGAUGCGGCCACACUUCCUCUAAUUGUGCGAACCGCACAUUUCUGAGUACGGCCGCACAUUUCUGAGUGCGACCGCAUAUUUCUGAGUGCGGCCGCACUCUUCCUCUUGGACUGGAUCUGGGCUUCAUUCUGUGGACCGCACAUUUAUGAGUGAGGCCACAUUUUGGCAUCCUAUGGCUGCACAAUAAUAGUGUGGUCCGCACAUCUUUAAGCUCCCAAACUACAAGUCUCUGAAUCUAAUCUUCUCCGGCCGCACAAUAAUUGUGCGGUCCGCACUCUGUGAAGAAAUUCUAUCAGUGCAUCUUCAGAGUUUGCGGCCGCACACAGUAUUGUGCGGUCCGCACUGUAGCAAUUUUUUUCCUUGUUUUGGUUCUUGUCCAAUUUUACUCUUUUUGAGUUGAUUUUCACUUCUUUGGCUCGUUUCCCAAUAUUUCUGCAAGAAAGCACAUUUAAUUAGUUCUCGAGAAUACCUUUAAGCAUUUUGAGCUAAAAUAUAAGUAAAAGAGAGCAAAUAAGCGGUCAAAAUCCCUACUUAUCAUUUCUCCCAAACUUAAGCUUUUACUUGUCCUCAAGCAAUUAAGGCAAUUUCCCACCUCCACUAGAAAAUGGCUAUUUCAGCUGGCCUAAUUUGAAUCAAACACAAAUCAAUUGGGAACAACAAUUACCCACAUGCUCAUGAAUCAUUAACAAGCUUAUGAUUUGAAUGUUAAAGCACAAAUGACUCUAAUGUGACGCUUGAGCAUCAAGGGUUGACAUUGUUCAUCAAGGAAUCUUGCACUUUCAUGUAGGUCACUGUGGAUCCCAAACUCCUCCUCCUAUACUCUCCGGAAGCUCAUCUCACUCACGAAUGAAGAAUUCAAUUCAAUGACUCGAGAAAGAUUCGCUCAUCACUCUCAAAAAAA